AACGCGAAGAACCUUACCUGGACUUGACAUCCUACAAACCUGCUAGAGAUAGCGGGGUGCUCGCAAGAGAAUGUAGAGACAGGUGCUGCAUGGCUGUCGUCAGCUCGUGUCGUGAGAUGUUGGGUUAAGUCCCGCAACGAGCGCAACCCUCGCCUUUAGUUGCCAUCAUUCAGUUGGGCACUCUAGAGGGACUGCCGGUGUUAAACCGGAGGAAGGUGGGGAUGACGUCAAGUCCUCAUGGCCUUUAUGUCCAGGGCUACACACGUGCUACAAUGGCUGGUACAAAGCGUUGCCAACUCGCGAGAGGGAGCUAAUCGCAAAAAACCAGUCUCAGUUCGGAUUGGAGUCUGCAACUCGACUCCAUGAAGUCGGAAUCGCUAGUAAUCGAAGAUCAGCACGCUUCGGUGAAUACGUUCCCGGGCCUUGUACACACCGACGCGUA
rnacentral:rRNA from 1 species